rnacentral:rRNA from 1 species
CACGCAGGCGGUUUGUUAAGCUAGAUGUGAAAGCCCCGGGCUCAACCUGGGAUGGUCAUUUAGAACUGGCAGACUAGAGUUUUGGAGAGGGGAGUGGAAUUCCAGGUGUAGCGGUGAAAUGCGUAGAUAUCUGGAGGAACAUCAGUGGCGAAGGCGACUCUCUGGCCAAAGACUGACGCUCAUGUGCGAAAGUGUGGGUAGCGAACA